rnacentral:rRNA from 1 species
GAUACUGGCUCGACUCGUGGUCGGAUAUAAACGUCGGAGACGUGUUGUGCUAAGACGUCAUCAGACGCGCGGGAGUGGUGGCAAGUGGUACGGCGGGAAGGAUUAACAAAAGUGGGACGAGAGGACGUAGGUGUGGGGUCGUUUGAGACGUCGCUGCCUGUGGUAGAACCGGCCGGUUAGUGAACGGCAGUUGCUGUUCGAGUAGAGGCCGUUACCGUCCAUGCGCGAGCCGAAGAAGGUCUGGCUUCCGUGGUGGUUGACCAUGGAACCGUAUACCAAGUUGCGUCAGGGAUUUAAGUGAGGUCGUACCCAACCUUUAUCCCUAUUGGGUCAGUUCUUGUGCUGGAGUCAACUCGAGUGGUAAAGGGUGCUACCGUUGGAACAGUAGAAUUUGGCCAGGUGGUACAGGUAUUAGACCAGGUGUGUUCGUUUGUAGAGGUCUUUAUCGUGGUGACGAUCCGACGACUCAUGACCUUUAGAGCAUGAGUGUCUGAGAAGUUUGAACAGUCUCAAAGAUACCGUUUCGAAACUAGUGGGGUGCCUAUGUAAAAAAGGACCCCGGUUCGUACCUACCCUA